rnacentral:rRNA from 1 species
UACGUAGGGUGCGAGCGUUAAUCGGAAUUACUGGGCGUAAAGCGUGCGCAGGCGGUUUUGUAAGCCAGAUGUGAAAUCCCCGGGCUUAACCUGGGAAUGGCAUUUGGGACUGCAAGGCUGGAGUGUGGCAGAGGAGACUGGAAUUCCUGGUGUAGCAGUGAAAUGCGUAGAUAUCAGAAGGAACAUCAGUGGCGAAAGCGACUUCCUGGACCAGUACCGACGUUCAGGCACGAAAGCGUGGGGAGCAAACAGG